rnacentral:rRNA from 1 species
GUUUGAUCCUGGCUCAGAACGAACGCUGGCGGCGUGCCUAACACAUGCAAGUUGAGCGCGAAAGGGAGCAAUCCCCGGUAGAGCAGCGCACGGGUGAGUAACACGUGAGUAAUCUUCCUUCGUGUCAGGAAUAACCACUGGAAACGGUGGCUAAUACUCGAUAAGCCCACAACCCCCUCGGGGGAUGAGGGAAAAGGGGGCGCAAGCCUCUCGCACGAAGAUGAGCUCGCGGUCCAUUAGCUAGUUGGCGGGGUAAUGGCCCACCAAGGCGAUGAUGGAUAGCUGGUCUGAGAGGACGAUCAGCCACACUGGGACUGAGACACGGCCCAGACUCCUACGGGAGGCAGCAGUGGGGAAUCUUGCGCAAUGGACGAAAGUCUGACGCAGCAACGCCGCGUGAGUGAUGAAGGUCUUUGGAUCGUAAAGCUCUUUCGGGAGGGAAGAAAUGGUUGUGUGCUAAUACCACACAGCCUUGACGGUACCUUCAGAAGAAGCACCGGCUAACU